GACGAAGGGGGGCUAGCGUUGUUCGGAAUUACUGGGCGUAAAGCGAGUGUAGGUGGUUGUCCAAGUUGGAUGUGAAAGCCUUGAGCUCAACUCAAGAAAUGCAUUCAGGACUGGGCGGCUAGAGGACCGGAGGAGAUAGUGAAUUCCCAGUGUAGUGGUGAAAUACGUAGAGAUUGGGAAGAACACCAGUGGCGAAGGCGGCUAUCUGGACGGUUUCUGACACUAAGACUCGAAAGCGUGGGGAGCAAACAGG
rnacentral:rRNA from 1 species